rnacentral:rRNA from 1 species
GAUGAACGCUGGCGGCGUGCCUAACACAUGCAAGUCGAGCGAACGGACGCUAAGCUUGUUUCUCUGUUGUUAGCGGAGGACGGGAGUGUAACACGUGUAUCCCCCCCCUAUCAUUCUGGUAUCAUCUCGAGACUCCGGCUCUUACCCCGUAUGAUCUUUUGCUCCGUAUGGUUCAAAGGUGAAAGACGGUCUUUCUGUCUCUUAUAGAUGGAUCCGCGCUGCAUUAGCUAGUUGGUAAGGUAACGGCUUAUCAAGGCGACGAUGCAUAGCCGACGUGACAGAGGGAUCGGCCACACGGGAACGGGGACACGGUCCAGACUCCUACGGGAGGCAGCAGUAGGGAAUCGGCCGCAAUGGGCGAGAGCAUGACGGAGCAAGGCCGAGUGAGUGAUGAAGGUCUUCGGAUCGUAAAACUCUGUUAUUAGGGGAGAACAGAUGUGUAAGUAACUGUGCACAGCUUGACGGUACCGAGUCAGGAAGCAACGGCUAACUACGUG